rnacentral:rRNA from 1 species
GAUGAACGCUGGCGGCGUGCCUAAUACAUGCAAGUAGAACGCUGAAGGAAGGAGCUUGCUCUUUCCGGGUGAGUUGCGAACGGGUGAGUAACGCGUAGGUAACCUGCCUGGUAGCGGGGGAUAACUAUUGGAAACGAUAGCUAAUACCGCAUAACAGUAGAUGUUGCAUGAUAUCUACUUAAAAGGUGCAAUUGCACCACUACCAGAUGGACCUGCGUUGUAUUAGCUAGUUGGUGAGGUAACGGCUCACCAAGGCGACGAUACAUAGCCGACCUGAGAGGGUGAUCGGCCACACUGGGACUGAGACACGGCCCAGACUCCUACGGGAGGCAGCAGUAGGGAAUCUUCGGCAAUGGACGGAAGUCUGACCGAGCAACGCCGCGUGAGUGAAGAAGGGUUUCGGAUCGUAAAGCUCUGUUGUAAGAGAAGAACGAGUGUGAGAGUGGAAAGUUCACACUGUGACGGUAUCUUACCAGAAAGGGACGGCUAACUACGUG